rnacentral:rRNA from 1 species
UGGGGAAUUUUGGACAAUGGGGGAAACCCUGAUCCAGCCAUCCCGCGUGUGCGAUGAAGGCCUUCGGGUUGUAAAGCACUUUUGGCAGGAAAGAAACGUCAUGGGUUAAUACCCCGUGAAACUGACGGUACCUGCAGAAUAAGCACCGGCUAACUACGUGCCAGCAGCCGCGGUAAUACGUAGGGUGCAAGAGUUAAUCGGAAUUACUGGGCGUAAAGCGUGCGCAGGCGGUUCGGAAAGAAAGAUGUGAAAUCCCAGAGCUCAACUUUGGAACUGCAUUUUUAACUACCGGGCUAGAGUGUGUCAGAGGGAGGUGGAAUUCCGCGUGUAGCAGUGAAAUGCGUAGAUAUGCGGAGGAACACCGAUGGCGAAGGCAGCCUCCUGGGAUAACACUGACGCUCAUGCACGAAAGCGUGGGGAGCAAACAGG